AUGGGGUUGCCCCUGUGGGGAGUCCUACUGGCCCGGGAUACUGCCAAAGGAGGACCUGAUGGGAACGUCACCCCAUCCUAAAGCCUCGAGAACACAAUGGAGCAGCUGGAUGGCAGAGUCCCUGUAAGCCCUGACACCCUAGGACUGGACAUACCUUCUUAUUAAAACUUGGAGCAGGCAUCAGAAGGAAAAAAAAUUGCACAGCAUCUGCACCGGGCCUCCCAACCCUUCCACCCCAGACCAGCUCAGGACAAAGGAGCAAACAACCACAGGACCACAGGUCAGAGGAAACUAACACAGUGUAUGAUGCCUGGGAGGCCUCAGUACGUGUGUGCUCUACUCAGUGCCUCAGAUGAUCCAGAAGCAACCAAUGCUGCCAAGUAUAUAUAUGUAUAUACAAACCAGGCUGCAGUUUUCCUUGCCUACAUCCAAGGUGACUGCCAUUUCUAGUCGAUUAAGAACCUCAAUAAACCAGAUCUUUGAAGAAUUCAAAGCAGAUUCAAACAACUCCUGAACUUCCUACAGGGGGAAUUGGAGGCUCUGCCCCAGACCUUCCUCUCCUAUGAUGAGCCCUGGGCUGGUCAACAAAGGUGGAGAAUUUCCUCGAUGGAUGAUGAUCCAGUUCUGUGAGGUGAUCCUGCCCAACACAGGAGACAGCAGGGCUUAUCCCAUGUCUUUACAAAUCAAGUCGCUCUCCCCUAUGGGGCAAUUCUGAGCUCAGCAAGUUCCCUGGUCAGGAUCAAUUGGUCAGUUUGCCCCUGUCUGGACUCUACAAUGUAAAAGUUUCUGCCUGGACGCUGGAAGUUGAGGCAGGUCAAUCCAGUUGAAAUUCUUAAGCAGGG